rnacentral:lncRNA from 1 species
UAUUUUUUUAAUUCCAGUUCUGUUUGAUUAUGGGGGAUAUGGAGAUUUUGGGAAGUAGGUAACUUUUUUUUUUUACUGAUAUUUUUGUUUUCUUUGGGGACUUGAAGCUCUGGAAGUAUGGAUGCAUGUAGUGCAAAGAUAGCAGAUUCAUGAUUUGGAGGAUGAGACCUUUGAUUCACUGGUGAAAGAUGCCAACCUUAUCUGUGUAUGCUUGAAAAUUCACUGAGAAGAAAGGUACCCACUUUACUUUUUCUCUUUUUCUUGUUACUUCUACAACCUCUGAUUCCUGAAGCCUUCUGGUUUAUGAAGAUUUUGAAUUUGUUGGGUUUUUAUAUAUUUAUUACUAUUUACAGUGACCAGAUUAAAAGGAAUGCAUGUAGUGGAAAUUGUGAAAAUUGGAUGUGGAAGUUCUUCUACUGUAGUUUCUUGAUAUGAUGAGUUCUCAAAGUAGUUGAAAAUUGGAUGUGGAAGUUUUGGUUUUGUAAUUUCAGAAACCCAUUUAUUUUUUAAUUCCUGUUCUGUUUGAUUAUGGGGGAUAUGGAGAUUUUGGGAAGUGGGUAACUUUUUUUUACUGAUAUUUUUGUUUUCUUUGGGGACUUGAAGCUCUGGAAGUGUGGAUGCAUGCAGUGCAAAGAUAGCAGAUUCAUGAUUUGGAGGAUGAGACCUUUGAUUCACUGGUGACAGAUGCCAACCUUAUCUGUGUAUGCUUGAAAAUUCACUGAGA